rnacentral:rRNA from 1 species
AUUGAACGCUGGCGGCAUGCCGUACACAUGCAAGUCGAACGGCAGCAUGGAAGAGCUUGCUCUUCUGAUGGCGAGUGGCGAACGGGUGAGUAAAGCAUCGGAACGUACCGUGUAGUGGGGGAUAACGUAGCGAAGGUUACGCUAAUACCGCAUACGCACUGAGGUGGAAAGCAGGGGAUCGCAAGACCUUGCGCUAUACGAGCGGCCGAUGUCAGAUUAGCUAGUUGGUAGGGUAAAGGCCUACCAAGGCGACGAUCUGUAGCGGGUCUGGGAGGAUGAUCCGCCACUCUGGGACUGAGACACGGCCCAGACUCCUACGGGAGGCAGCAGUGGGGAAUUUUGGACAAUGGGGGAAACCCUGAUCCAGCCAUGCCGCGUGAGUGAAGAAGGCCUUCGGGUUGUAAAGCUCUUUCGGCUGGGAAGAAAUCGCACAGGCUAAUACUCUGUGUGGAUGACGGUACCAGCAUAAGAAGCACCGGCUAACUACGUGCCAGCCGCCGCCGUAA